rnacentral:misc_RNA from 1 species
GAUGAAGAACGUAGUGAAAUGCGAUAAGUAAUGUGAAUUGCAGAAUUCGGUGAAUCAUCGAAUCUUUGAACGCACAUUGCGCCCCUCGGUAUUCCGAGGGGCAUGCCUGUUCGAGCGUCAUUAUAACCCUUCAAGCUCAGCUUGGUGUUGGGGCCUGCUGUAACUGGUAGCCCUUAAAAUCAGUGGCAGUGCUAUUAGGCUCUAAGCGUAGUAAUUCUUCUCGCUAUAGUGUGUAGUGAGCGCUUGCCAGAACCCCAAACUUUUAUAUGAUUGACCUCGGAUCAGGUAGGGAUACCCGCUGAACUUAAGCAUAUCAAUAAGCGGAGGA